rnacentral:siRNA from 1 species
UUCAAUAAUCGUUGUGGCAGGGAG